rnacentral:misc_RNA from 1 species
AGCCCUUGACAUGUGACUCGCCGGUACCAGAGAUGGUACCUUCGGUUCGGCCGGAGUCAGCACCUGUGCAGGAUCUCCGAAGAGGGGCUCUCGUUUCUGAGAGCUUGCUCCUGCAUGUCAAGCCUAGGUAAGGUUCUUCGCGUUGCGUCGAAUUAAACCACAUGCUCCACCGCUUGUGCGGGCCCCCGUCAAUUCCUUUGAGUUUUAAUCUUGCGACCGUACUCCCCAGGCGGUCGACUUCACGCGUUAGCUGCGGUACUAAGGAAGUCUCCUUCCCCAACACCUAGUCGACAUCGUUUAGGGCGUGGACUAC